AAAGCGGGGGCAACCUCGCAAGUAAAGUGGCGUACGGGUGAGUAACACGUGGGUGAUCUACCCUUUAGUGGGGAAUAACGCUGGGAAACCGGCGCUAAUACCGCAUAAUCUCGAGAGAGGAAAGUCGCAAGACGCUGAAGGAGGAGCCCGCGGCCGAUUAGCUAGUUGGGAGGGUAAAAGCCUACCAAGGCGAAGAUCGGUAGCCGGCCUGAGAGGGCACACGGCCACACUGGCACUGAAACACGGGCCAGACUCCUACGGGAGGCAGCAGUGGGGAAUCUUGCACAAUGGGGGAAACCCUGAUGCAGCGACGCCGCGUGAACGAUGAAGCCCUUCGGGGUGUAAAGUUCUUUCGGCAGGGACGAUGAUGACGGUACCUGCAGAAGCAGCUGCGGCUAACUACGUGCCAGCAGCCGCGGUAAUACGUAGGCAGCGAGCGUUGUUCGGAGUUACUGGGCGUAAAGGGUGUGUAGGCGGUUCUCUAAGUUUGGUGUGAAAUCUCCCGGCUCAACCGGGAGGGUGCGCCGAAAACUGGGGGGCUAGAGUGCGGGAUGGGAGAGUAGAAUUCCUGGUGUAGCGGUGAAAUGCGUAGAUAUCAGGAGGAAUACCGGUGGUGCAGACGGCUCUCUGGACCGCAACUGACGCUGAGACACGAAAGCGU
rnacentral:rRNA from 1 species